rnacentral:lncRNA from 1 species
UUAGAUUCUUACAUAAUAGAUAGCUUGAAGCAACACCAUAGUAGGUCACAAGUACACAUCCAUAGUCCACAUUUACUAUUUCUAAAGAACAUCAUACUUCCCAAAAGUUCACCUAAGCAUGCUUCAUUUUUCUCUUGCUCUACAACUUCUUCAUUCUUCCAAGAUGUCUUGGAUCCCCUUCAACUUCUGCCUGGUCCUCUCCUCCCACCUUAGCAAAUCAGCAAUGCGAAGCUUCAGUUCAGCCCUAUCUACAGUGAGCUUCUCAUGUCCCUUCUUAAG